UAGUCCACGCCGUAAACGAUGUCAACUAGCCGUCGGAUCCAUUUAAGGGUUUGGUGGCGAAGCUAACGCGAUAAGUUGACCGCCUGGGGAGUACGGCCGCAAGGUUAAAACUCAAAUGAAUUGACGGGGGCCCGCACAAGCGGUGGAGCAUGUUGUUUAAUUCGAUGCAACGCGAAGAACCUUACCACCCCUUGACAUCCUCGGAACUUGGCAGAGAUGCCUUAGUGCCUUCGGGAACCGAGUGACAGGUGCUGCAUGGCUGUCGUCAGCUCGUGUCGUGAGAUGUUGGGUUAAGUCCCGUAACGAGCGCAACCCUUGUCCUUAUUUGCCAGCACAUUAUGGUGGGAACUCUAAGGAGACUGACGGUGACAAACCGUAGGAAGGUGGGGACGACGUCAAGUCAUCAUGGCCCUUACGGGGGUGGGGC
rnacentral:rRNA from 1 species